rnacentral:rRNA from 1 species
GAAAGCUUGGCGAAUAAGGACUGGGUAAGACCCGUGCCAGCCGCCGCGGUAACACGGGCAGUCCAAGUGGUUUCCACGUAUAUUGGGCCUAAAGCGUGCGUAGCCGGUUUUGAAAGUCCUUUGUGAAAUCUGGCAGCUUAACUGUCAGGCUUGCAAGGGAAACUACAGAACUUGGAGCCGGGAAGGGUUGGAGGAAUUUCAGGGGUAGGAGUAAAAUCCUGUGAUACCCUGGAGGACCAUCGGUGGCGAAGGCGUCCAACUGGAACGGGCUCGACGGUGAGGUACGAAAGCUAGGGGAGCAACCCGGAUUAGAUACCCGAGUAGUCCCAGCCGUAAACGAUGCAGGCUAGGUGUUGGGUCGGCCACGUGCUGGCUCAGUGCCACAGG